rnacentral:rRNA from 1 species
GGGUUGUGAGGUUAAGCGACUAAGCGUACACGGUGGAUGCCCUGGCAGUCAGAGGCGAUGAAGGACGUGCUAAUCUGCGAUAAGCGUCGGUAAGGUGAUAUGAACCGUUAUAACCGGCGAUUUCCGAAUGGGGAAACCCAGUGUGUUUCGACACACUAUCAUUAACUGAAUCCAUAGGUUAAUGAGGCGAACCGGGGGAACUGAAACAUCUAAGUACCCCGAGGAAAAGAAAUCAACCGAGAUUCCCCCAGUAGCGGCGAGCGAACGGGGAGCAGCCCAGAGCCUGAAUCAGUGUGUGUGUUAGUGGAAGCGUCUGGAAAGGCGCGCGAUACAGGGUGACAGCCCCGUACACAAAAAUGCACAUGCUGUGAGCUCGAUGAGUAGGGCGGGACACGUGGUAUCCUGUCUGAAUAUGGGGGGACCAUCCUCCAAGGCUAAAUACUCCUGACUGACCGAUAGUGAACCAGUACCGUGAGGGAAAGGCGAAAAGAACCCCGGCGAGGGGAGUGAAAAAGAACCUGAAACCGUGUACGUACAAGCAGUGGGAGCACGCUUAGGCGUGUGACUGCGUACCUUUUGUAUAAUGGGUCAGCGACUUAUAUUCUGUAGCAAGGUUAACCGAAUAGGGGAGCCGAAGGGAAACCGAGUCUUAACUGGGCGUUAAGUUGCAGGGUAUAGACCCGAAACCCGGUGAUCUAGCCAUGGGCAGGUUGAAGGUUGGGUAACACUAACUGGAGGACCGAACCGACUAAUGUUGAAAAAUUAGCGGAUGACUUGUGGCUGGGGGUGAAAGGCCAAUCAAACCGGGAGAUAGCUGGUUCUCCCCGAAAGCUAUUUAGGUAGCGCCUCGUGAAUUCAUCUCCGGGGGUAGAGCACUGUUUCGGCAAGGGGGUCAUCCCGACUUACCAACCCGAUGCAAACUGCGAAUACCGGAGAAUGUUAUCACGGGAGACACACGGCGGGUGCUAACGUCCGUCGUGAAGAGGGAAACAACCCAGACCGCCAGCUAAGGUCCCAAAGUCAUGGUUAAGUGGGAAACGAUGUGGGAAGGCCCAGACAGCCAGGAUGUUGGCUUAGAAGCAGCCAUCAUUUAAAGAAAGCGUAAUAGCUCACUGGUCGAGUCGGCCUGCGCGGAAGAUGUAACGGGGCUAAACCAUGCACCGAAGCUGCGGCAGCGACGCUGAUGCGUUGUUGGGUAGGGGAGCGUUCUGUAAGCCUGCGAAGGUGUGCUGUGAGGCAUGCUGGAGGUAUCAGAAGUGCGAAUGCUGACAUAAGUAACGAUAAAGCGGGUGAAAAGCCCGCUCGCCGGAAGACCAAGGGUUCCUGUCCAACGUUAAUCGGGGCAGGGUGAGUCGACCCCUAAGGCGAGGCCGAAAGGCGUAGUCGAUGGGAAACAGGUUAAUAUUCCUGUACUUGGUGUUACUGCGAAGGGGGGACGGAGAAGGCUAUGUUGGCCGGGCGACGGUUGUCCCGGUUUAAGCGUGUAGGCUGGUUUUCCAGGCAAAUCCGGAAAAUCAAGGCUGAGGCGUGAUGACGAGGCACUACGGUGCUGAAGCAACAAAUGCCCUGCUUCCAGGAAAAGCCUCUAAGCAUCAGGUAACAUCAAAUCGUACCCCAAACCGACACAGGUGGUCAGGUAGAGAAUACCAAGGCGCUUGAGAGAACUCGGGUGAAGGAACUAGGCAAAAUGGUGCCGUAACUUCGGGAGAAGGCACGCUGAUAUGUAGGUGAGGUCCCUCGCGGAUGGAGCUGAAAUCAGUCGAAGAUACCAGCUGGCUGCAACUGUUUAUUAAAAACACAGCACUGUGCAAACACGAAAGUGGACGUAUACGGUGUGACGCCUGCCCGGUGCCGGAAGGUUAAUUGAUGGGGUUAGCGCAAGCGAAGCUCUUGAUCGAAGCCCCGGUAAACGGCGGCCGUAACUAUAACGGUCCUAAGGUAGCGAAAUUCCUUGUCGGGUAAGUUCCGACCUGCACGAAUGGCGUAAUGAUGGCCAGGCUGUCUCCACCCGAGACUCAGUGAAAUUGAACUCGCUGUGAAGAUGCAGUGUACCCGCGGCAAGACGGAAAGACCCCGUGAACCUUUACUAUAGCUUGACACUGAACAUUGAGCCUUGAUGUGUAGGAUAGGUGGGAGGCUUAGAAGUGUGGACGCCAGUCUGCAUGGAGCCGACCUUGAAAUACCACCCUUUAAUGUUUGAUGUUCUAACGUGGACCCGUAAUCCGGGUUGCGGACAGUGUCUGGUGGGUAGUUUGACUGGGGCGGUCUCCUCCUAAAGAGUAACGGAGGAGCACGAAGGUUGGCUAAUCCUGGUCGGACAUCAGGAGGUUAGUGCAAUGGCAUAAGCCAGCUUGACUGCGAGCGUGACGGCGCGAGCAGGUGCGAAAGCAGGUCAUAGUGAUCCGGUGGUUCUGAAUGGAAGGGCCAUCGCUCAACGGAUAAAAGGUACUCCGGGGAUAACAGGCUGAUACCGCCCAAGAGUUCAUAUCGACGGCGGUGUUUGGCACCUCGAUGUCGGCUCAUCACAUCCUGGGGCUGAAGUAGGUCCCAAGGGUAUGGCUGUUCGCCAUUUAAAGUGGUACGCGAGCUGGGUUUAGAACGUCGUGAGACAGUUCGGUCCCUAUCUGCCGUGGGCGCUGGAGAACUGAGGGGGGCUGCUCCUAGUACGAGAGGACCGGAGUGGACGCAUCACUGGUGUUCGGGUUGUCAUGCCAAUGGCACUGCCCGGUAGCUAAAUGCGGAAGAGAUAAGUGCUGAAAGCAUCUAAGCACGAAACUUGCCCCGAGAUGAGUUCUCCCUGACCCUUUAAGGGUCCUGAAGGAACGUUGAAGACGACGACGUUGAUAGGCCGGGUGUGUAAGCGCAGCGAUGCGUUGAGCUAACCGGUACUAAUGAACCGUGAGGCUUAACCUUACAACGCCGAAGCUGUU